AUGAACGAAAUCAGCAAGGGGGGAAGCCAUAGUUAGGGUUUUCAAGCUUCCAAGCUCCAUAAUCAAGAAGAACGAAACUCGAGGUUAGACAAAGGGAAGAAUAAAGUUGAAGACUAAGUUGUUGAAUUGGACUAUAUUUGAUACCGAGUAUUGUAAAGCUACUUCAAGGAUCCUAAAGAAGUCGGAGAUCGUCCACACUAUCAACCACAACUGCUCGGGUAUAGAUACACAGUUGAAAGUGGGGUUUUGAAGAUUUCCAAAGGCUCACUCGUUGUGAUGAAAGGGCAGAGAAAAGCGGUGUUGCAGAACAUAUGAACAGAACGAUCAAGGAGAAGGUUCAAUAUAUGUUGUCAAAUGUCAACUUACCAAAGUCGUUUUGGCCGAAGCAGCCUCUACUGUAUGUUUUUUUAUCAACCGAUCUCCAUCCGUUGCUAUUGAGAAAAAGACUCCACAAGAGGUAUGGUCUGGUAAUCCUACUGACUAUUAUAAUUUAAAGAUCUUUGAGUGUCCUGCGUAUACUUAUGUUGAUAAUGAAAAAUUGGAACUGAUAUCAAUUAAAUGUGUUUUUCUUGGUUAUAAAGCUGGUGUAAAAGGGUAUAAGUUAUGAUGUCCUGAAAAUAGAAAAGUUGUGAUUAGUAGAGAUGUUGUUUUUGAUUAAACUGCUAUGCUACCUAACUUAUCUCUUAAAGACUCUUCUAAUAAAGAAAAUCAAAAGCAGGUGGAGCAUUAGAUUAAUCUAAAAUCUACAACAGAGUUGACUCCUCAAGCCAAUACAAAAAUUUAGAAUAGAGUUGCUUCUUUACCACAAUACUGUAUCGCUAAAAACAAAACUGGAAGAGAAAUUAAACCUCCAAAGAUGUAUGACAAGGCUGAUCUAGUUUCCUAUGCUUUAAAUGUGGCUGAAGAUAUAUAUGCAAACCAAGAGCCAUAUAAUUAUUCUGAGGCGGUUAGCUGUGAAGACUCAAAAAAGUGGAUGUUUGCUAUGCAAGAGGAGAUGGAAUCACUUCAUAAAAAUAUAAUAUGGAAUCUUGUGAAACUUUCCAAAGGUAAAAAAAUUGUUUGUUGUAAAUGGGUGUUUAAAAAAAAGAAGGGACUCCAGGAGUUGAAGAACCCAGAUAUAAAGCAAGGCUUGUUGCAAAGGGUUACAGUCAAAUUCCAGGAGUGGACUCCACAGAUGUGUUCUCCCCAGUUGUGAAACAUAGUUUGAUUCGAGCUUUGCUUGAUAUUGUGGCCAUGCAUGAUUUAGAGCUUGAGCAGUUAGAUGUAAAAACUGUAUUUUUGCAUGGAGAACUUGAGAAAGAUAUUUACAUGCAACAACUAGAGGGUUUUACAGUCUCAGAAAAAGAGGACUAUGUUUGCUUGCUAAAAAAGUCCCUUUACAGUUUGAAACAGUCACCAAGACAGUGGUACAAGAUGUUUGAUUCCUUUAUGACUUUUCAUGAUUUCAAAAGAAGUGGUACAAGAGGUUGAUGACAUGUUGAUAGCAGCAAAAGAUAAAAGAGAGAUAAGAAAGGUCAAAGCCCAACUAAGUGAGGAAUUUGAUAUGAAAGAUUUGGGUCCAGCAAAUAAGAUACUUGGUAUGGAGAUUCUCAGAGAUAGAAAAACAAGUAAAUUGUACCUAAGUCAGAAGGGUUACAUUGAGAAAGUUCUUUGUAGGUUCAAUAUGCAGAGUGCUAAGCCUAUUAGUACUCCUUUAGUAGCCCAUUUCAGACUUUUAUCGGCUUUGUCUCCACAAUCAGAUGAUGAGAUUGAGUACAUGUCACAUGUUCCAUACUCUAGUGCAGUGAGAUCUCUCAUGUAUGCUAUGGUUUGUUCACGUCCAGAUUUAUCAUAUGCAGUCAGUGCAGUUAGCAGAUACAUGGCAAAUCCCGGUAAAGAAUUGGAAAGUAGUUCAGUGGAUUUUAAGAUACUUACGAGGUAUUACUGAUGUUUGCUUACAGUUUGGAAGAACUAGAGAUGGAGUCAUUGGGUAUGUUGAUGCUGAUUUUGUUAGAGACCUUGAUAGAAGAAGAUCUCUCACAGGUUUUGUCUUUACAAUCGAAGGUUGUGCAAUUAGUUGGAAAGCCACUUUGCAAACUACAGUCGUUUUGUCUACAGCUGAAGCUAAGUACAUGACGAUUACUGAGGCUUGUAAAGAAGCUAAUUGGUUAAAGGGACUAUUUAGUGAACUCAAUGAAGACCCUUCACAUAAUGUGUUUCAUGUAUCUAUGUUACAAUGGUAUUGAUCAGACCCUUUGCAUGUUAUAUUACCAGUAGAUGUCGAGAUUCAGCCUGAUAUAUAGCUUGAGAGGUUAAAGAAUUGAGAAAUAAAAGCAUAGCCUUAGUGGAAGGCAACAACACGGUAUAGAGGAGGCCACUUAGGAACCCGAAGAAGCUAUGAAAGCGCAGUACCUGAAGCUCUUUUCUUGUAAGAUUUUCAGGGACGAAAAUUCCUUUAAGGGAGAGAGUUGUAACAACCCGUUUUUAGUGAAAUCGAAACAAUGGUCUUGGGACCACAAAUCCGAUGUGAGAAUAUU